rfam:Ajellomyces capsulatus NAm1 scaffold_2 genomic scaffold, whole genome shotgun sequence.
GGCGCGAUGGCGGAGUGGUUAACGCGAGAGACUAGAACCGGCUAUUGCCGAACUAUCUAUCUCUUCCCUUCGGGGGCGUAGGUUCGAAUCCUGCUCGCGUCG